AGGAAAUCAACUUCAGAUUAGCUGCCGAUGGCAUGUGUGAGGAGUGUGAGAAUAUACGUGUGUCCAUGCGUGCAUGCACACACUCAACAUACAGUUUCCUAUAGAAACUUAUCAUCUCCUCUUGCUCCUGUAAGAAUGAAGGCCGUGGCUGGUGCCUAAGUUACCUCUCACUUAGGUUCAGCAAGCUUCCAGGAAGAAGAGAUCAGUGUGAGGUGCGAGGAGGUGGUGCUGAACUCUGGCCUGAAGCUCUGCAAAGAGAUUCAGGGGUCAGGUUGUAGCCAUGGAGGGCCCGACUCUUCAUUAAGAUUUGGUUUCCAAGGCUCCCCUAGUUUUUGAGGCUUUGGCCUCUGGCUCCCUUGGAUUUCUGCGGCUUCAGGCUGAGUUGCUUGUCCUUAUCCUGACCUCCGGGGGAUUUCUUUUUAUAAUGAGAGAGGCUGGUGUUGCUUUCAUUUUCUCCAUUCGGUGUUCACAGCUGCCAUGUGGUAAGCCCACGAGCGGUCUCCCAACUUGGACAGCUUCCUACAGAACAACAGUUACCUGUAUCC
rnacentral:lncRNA from 1 species